GUUGCUAAGGUGUUGAUUUGGUAUCCAGGGUGGUUGCUAAGGUAUUGCUAGGUGGUUGCUAAGGUGUUGCUAGGUGGUUGCUAAGGUGUUGCUAUGGUAUCCGGGGUGGUUGCUAAGGUGUUGCUAGGUGGUUGCAAGGUGGUUGCUAAGGUGUUGCUAGGCGGUUGCUAAGGUGUUGCUAUGGUGUCUAGGGUGGUUGCUAAGGUGUUGCUAGGUGGUUGCUAAGAUGUUGCUAUGGUAUCUGGGGUGGUUGCUAAGGUGUUGCUAGGUGUAUCUAACUGGUCGCUAGGCAGUUGCUACCAUUUCUAAAGUGGUUGCUAAGCAGUUGCUAGGCAGUUGCUAACGUUUUCCAGGUGGUUGCUAAGGUGUUGCUAUCUGGUUGCUAGGCAGUUGCUAACGUAUUACACAUGGUUGCUAAGUGGUUGCUAGGCAGUUGCUAAUGUUUUCCAGGUGGUUGCUAAGGUGUAUCUAACUGGUUCCUAGGCAGUAGUAGAUAAAAAGAAAGAGUGUUAAAUGUAGAAGUACAGAAAAAGGGAGAGCCUGAAAUAGAGAAGUAGAGAGAAAAUCAGCGUGAGAAGUAGAGAAAGAACACCCGAGAAUGUGAGAAAAAGAGUGACAAGUAGAGAGAAAUAUUGAGCGAGAGAAAGAGAAUUAGGGAAAAAGAGAGAUCGAGAAAUAAAGAAGUAGAGAAAGAAAAAGGAUGUAGUAGAGAGAUAGAUAGAAAGAGAAAGCAAGACAGAAAAGUAGAGUGAAAGAGAAGUAGAGAGAAGAGCGAGAAAUAAAGAGAGAGUAAGAGAGAAAUAGAGAAAUAGAAAAGUAGAAAGAAAGAGACAUAGAAAAGUAGAGAGAGUGAGAAAGAGAGAGUGAGAAAUAGAGAAGUAGAGAGAGAGUGAGAAAGAGAGAGUGAGAAAUAGAGAAGUAGAGAGAGUGAGAAAUAGAGACGUAGAAAAGAGUGAGAAAGAGAGAGUGAGAAAUAGAGAAGUAGAGAGAGAGUGAGAAAUAGAGACGUAGAGAGAGAGUGAGAAAUAGAGAAGUAGAGAGCAAAAGAGAGAGAGAGAAGUAGAGAAGUAGAGAGCAAAAGAGAGAGUGAGACAGAGAAGUAGAGAGCAAACGAGAGAGUGAGAAGUAGAGAAGUAGAGAGCAAAAGAAAGAGUGAGAAAUAGAGAAGUAGAGAGAGAGUGGGAAAGAUAGAGUGAGAAUUAGAGAAGUAGAAAGAGAGAGUGAGAUAGAGAAGUAGAGAGAGAGUGAGAAAUAGAUAAGUAGAGAGAGAGUGAGAAAGAGAGAGUGAGAUAGAGAAGUAGAGAGAGAGUGAGAAAUAGAGUGAGAAAUAGAGACGUAGAGAGAGAGUGAGAAAGAGAGUGAGAAAUAGAGACGUAGAGAGAGAGUGAGAAAUAGAGUGAGAAAUAGAGACGUAGAGAGAGAGUGAGAAAGAGAGUGAGAAAUAGAGGAGUAGAGAGCAAAAGAGAGUGAGAAAUAGAGAAGUAGAGAGCAAAAGAGAGAGUGAGAAGUAGAGAAGUAGAGAGCAAAAGAAAGAGUGAGAAAUAUAGAAAUAGAGAGAGAGUGGGAAAGAAA